rnacentral:lncRNA from 1 species
GGUGUCCGUCCUCCCCCACGGAGCGGGCCAGCCAGGGAGAGAGUGCGGGCGGAUCCUCUGUGGCGUGUUGUGAGGGGAAAGCCUCCCCGAGGAGACGGCGGCGGCGGCCAUGGGGCGGGGGCUGCUGCCAGCGGAGGCGCCCGGGGACGCAGGUUGAGGUGAGAGCGGCCAGGCGCCUUCCCACACCGCCGGGCUGGGCGGUGCCGAGGGCUGGCUGCAGGCGGAGGAGGAGGAGGAAGCAGCAGCCGCCAGGAUAUUCCUGAAUGAACGGCUCUUCCCUCACCCCACACCUCCGCCCGCCUCCCGCCUCCCGCCCGCUACUCGCCGGUGUCGCUUCGCGGCGCAGCCAGUUUCUAUAGCGACGGGGGCCGAUCCGCGCCGCUACCCAGUAGUAACAAAGCCGGCUGCCCGCUGCCGCGCCGGGGCUGAGGCGGGGUGUGGGGAGGGGAACACCGGCUCCCUCUCACGAAGGCACCCCAGACAGGACAGAGAGAGAACAGAGGACAUACGAACAAUGAAUCAUCUCUUUUUGUUAUCGGUCAUUCAGACACUUUGGUGAUGGAUGGAUGAAUAGAUCGAGCCCAGAGCUGUAAGCCAGCUUGGCAGCUGGCAGAUGGAUGCCUGGCUCGGAGUAAAGGGCAUGCAGUGCACAGUCCCUAGCAGAAGCUGAAAAGGGAUGACACCUACUGAUGCUUGUCGACAAUGUCUUCUCCUCUCUUCCUGUUUGAGAUGGGUGAUACGACCAUCAGGAAAAAGUUCUAAAAUAAGCUUGAGUGACCUCAUCGCCCCUUGACUCCUCUUUCCACAAG